CCUACGGGAGGCAGCAGUGAGGAAUAUUGGUCAAUGGGCGGGAGCCUGAACCAGCCAAGCCGCGUGAGGGAAGAAGGUACAGCGUAUCGUAAACCUCUUUUGUCAGGGAACAAAGGCGGGGACUAGUCCCCGGAUGAGGGUACCUGAAGAAAAAGCAUCGGCUAACCCCGUGCCAGCAGCCGCGGUAAUACGGAGGAUGCGAGCGUUAUCCGGAUUUAUUGGGUUUAAAUGGUGCGCAGGCGGCCUGUUAAGUCAGCGGGAAAAGCCCGGGGCUCAACCCCGGCGAGCCGUUGAAACUGGCGGGCUGGAGUUGGAGAGAAGUACGCGGAAUGCGCGGUGUAGCGGUGAAAUGCUUAGAUAUCGCGAAGAACCCCGAUUGCGAAGGCAGCGUACCGGCUCCACACUGACGCUGAGGCACGAAAGCGUGGGUAUUGAACAGGAUUAGAUACCCGAGUAGUC
rnacentral:rRNA from 1 species